AUGUCGGACACUUAACUGACUGAGCUUCCCAGGUGCCCCAGCAGCCUAUAAUUCAUCAUUAAGCAAGGAAUGACAUAGUAAGGAGAUUGCAUAUAGACUGUGGGUGGGGCCUGUCGUGAGAAGGCCUCUCUGAUGGGAGGCCCACAGAAGAGGAAGCAAAGUGGCCACAGAAAACCUGCCCAGAAGCCAGAGGGAGGGAAGGAAUGAGAGAAGGGGGGGCAGUGAAGAGAUGGCAGGGCCAGGUCAGAGGGGCUUGCAGACAAGGUUUAACCUUUUGGCCUCUUUUCUGAGGGCAGCUUAACACGACUGAAACUCUCUCAUGGAGCCACUUGGGAAAACAGUUUGGAAGUUCCUCAAAGACUUAAGUAUAGACUUACCAUAUGACCCAGUAAGGCCACUCCUACUCAUACACCCAAGAGAAAUGAAACACAGGUCCACAAAAACAGGCCUGUCACAGUAGCAUUAUUUGUAUGAGCCCAAAGCGGGACACAACCCACAUGCCCAUCAACAGUGACUGGACACACACAAUGGGAUAUUAUUCAACCAAAAUAAGGAAGGAAGCCUGGGCACCCCAUCACAACAUGGAUGAACUUUGAACACACGCUAAGUGAAAAAAGCCAGACACAAAAGGCUGCAUGUUACCCUAUACUUUGGCUUCAAGAUGACGCUUGUCAUCUCCUUCUCUAAUACCUUGGCAUUUUGGAAGAAAAAAGAGCGGUGUCUCUGUGAGCAGUCAACGCCAAUUUAAAUAAUUCCAUUGCCAAUGAAUGAUGUGUGACAUGCUUGCAAAGUGAUCAAUUUGCUGUGCUACUAAUUAAUUCUGUGAAAUUACACACUGCCGAGAGCUUUCUGGCCAACUCUGUCAAAUGGUGUGAGAGAAAGUCAACUUUAGAAAGACUUAUUCCACAACAGUUCCUAAACCCUCGCAUCGCCAAGUCAGUUCAGUGAAUUCCAGCUUUCCUGUCCCAAGCCAGACACCUGCUGGGCUCCAACCGGUGGCGGGGGGCUGACUGCGUGGCUGGUGGGGGUGCGUUCCAGUUCUCAUUCCUCAGACUUGAUCUCUGCCCUGUGACCUACAACUGGGACUGAGGCAAGAGAAGCUCAAAGCAGCACCCAGCACAGAAUCUGGAACAAUCAUUCGGGCUGGACCAAAUAUGCCCAUAAGAUCCCAAGCGGCGACUUUAAGAGGGAGAUGUCACCACUGACCACCGAGAGAGAAAAUGCUUGUACCCAAGAGUACCGAGGGCUGGCCCUUUGUUCCUGACAGAUAUUGCCGGGGUUCAGAAGGACAAGGCUAGAACUCACCAAACAAACCCCAACUCUGAUUUCCAUGAGACCACAUGGGGAAGAAUACACUAUGCAGCAGACACACGGAGAGUGAGAACUGCCUCUAAGCAGGAGGCAGGGCGCUGCACCGUGACUCCUUUCAGAACGUCUUAGAGGUCAAGUUGGAGCCACAGAAGGAAAGCAGCAACAUGUGUUAAACGGAGAGAAUUGGAAGGUUUCACGUGGGGUCUUUCAUUCAAAUCAAACCCCAAAAUGUCGUGAUUGUCUAAACUCCAUGGGAGUCCCUAAGCAUACCGAUUUUUAGAAGAUGAAAAAUAGAGAACUGAGAUUUCACAGUAGAAAUGACUUUCAAUCAACAGUUCAAGGUCAGACAUCCUCCAAAUGCUAAACCUCACCAAAAAGAUACAAGAAAUGGAGUGAUUCGAUUGAAAACUUUAAGAGAGACAGAGACAGAGACAGAGACAGAGACAGAGAGAGGAGGUAGAUUAAUUUCCCCAGACAACUCACUCCCAAGGAAGCAAAUAAGACCAUCCUUGCUGGAAAUGAACCCCCGUCACUUUGUCUUUUUCAACAGCAGCUGCCUCAGCAGCUUGGGUUUAUCAAAUAGUAUGUGUGAGACACUGUGUGAUCCCAACUACUGUCUCUUCAAUCUCUUCGAUUAGUCUCUGGGAUGGACAUGUGCCUUAUUAUCCCUAGUACAAAAGGAGAAACUGAGGCUGACUGAAGCCACCUUCAGUAAUCUUUCCUGCGGCUAAAUUCCAAUGACCCAAAUCCAAACAGAAGCAGUGUAGACUAUGUUGGAAGAGGCAGGACAAAGCUUGGGUUCCGGUCCCAGCCCUGAUGCUUGCUAGCCAGGUGACCUUGAGAAAAUCACUGUGUCUUUUUGGGCCUCAGUUUCCUCAUUUAUGAGUGGGAGCAUUGCUGGGGUCAACAGGAUUCUCUGAAGCUCUUGGCUGGCUGUCGCUGCCAUGCAUCUUAAAGGGCCUUCAGGGAAGUUGGAAGAUGGCCCAAUCCCAGUGACUUUGGACUUGGCCAUGGAAUUUGCUUUGAUCAAAAGAAUUCAAGCAGAUGUGAUGUACGCAAAGGCUUCAGAUGUGUUCACGUGGGUUGGCUCAUGUCACAUCUGCUUGACUUUCAUUGGUCAUCCACGACUAUCCAAUAUGCUAGGGUUUCUCAACUUCAGUCCUCUUGACAUUCGGGAUAAAGUUUUCAUUGUGGGGGUAUCCUGAGCACUGUGGGAUGUCUAGCAACACCCUUAGCUUCUGCACCCUUUCUCCCACUUGUGACAACAAAAAAAUCUCCGGGAAUUGCCCAAUGAUCUUUGGGGAACAAAACCACUCCUGCCUGAGAGCCCUUCUAGUAUGUUCUUGGAGUUGGGCAGCCACUUGUUUAAGGAGAGAGAGGAAGUCCGUGAACCAUAAGCCGACCUAGAGCCCAGUCCAGCACAUAUGGACCUCAGCUGACCAGCAGAUAUGUGGGGCAAGAAACCUACGUACUUAUGGUUGUAAACCACUGUGAUUUUGAAGUUUGUCUUGCAGAAAACCCUCUAACAUUCUAGCCAUGAGGGCAACAGCAAAUAUGUGGUAGAAUUCCAAACACUGUGCCUGAGUACAGUGGUAUUUUCUGCUGGUAUUAUGAAUAUUGUUAGACUCUGUUUAGAUUGCCUUAUGAAGUGAUUUGGUGUGUAAUGCAUCUCACCUGUGUCCUGCAGAGUCAUCCCCUGAAGCCUUCUAAGCAACCCUCACCACUCUGCUCCAUGGACCACAUUCCCUGGUAUCUCGGACUGCAUCCAACCACCCUACGUGUGCCCACUCCCACUUCUGCAGGAGCCUCCGUGGCCAGGCUGCUCUCCUCCAGUUCUAGGGCAGCCUUGACUGUCUUUUGUGUUCCUCCCCCUUUCUCCCAGUUUAGGAUGAACCAAAAAUCCAGAGCUGUGACACAUAGGAAAUAGUUUAAAAUAGAUGCUCCUUGAAUCUGGUCAGCAUACCAAUUACAGUGGUUAAUUACUCAGUAUCUGUAUGUAUGUUUUAACGUAUGACUUCCGAAUACUGACUUCCCAUAAGGGCAAGGACGAUUUUGUAUCUGUUUUGCUCUUUAUGCAAAGCUAGAACCUAGCACCAUUCCUGGCAUGGAAUCCUGGUGGACUGAACGGAUGGGUGAGUAAAUGAGCUGAGAGAACAUUCACUCUUCAUAGCAAGCACACAAAUAAUUUAGAGAUAAACUGAUGGCCACCUCAGAACCUUGUUUAAAUCACGCAAGAUCCAAAAGAGUCCCCCAGAGUAAAUGUUACCAGAGGAUGUGGAAACACUCAGAACUCUGAUAGAAGAAUACAUUUGGCAAGGAAUGAAAGUUUUCUUAGAGCUUAAUUGUUUUUGUUUUCUUAAUUUAGUCCAAAGUUUGCAGCAUAUUUGUUGAUUCUUUAAUUUUCCCUCAAAGAAACUCUUCCACAGAGCAUAAAUUGAUGAUGAAGUAAGUGCCUAUAGGUCGUAUCUCUAUUACUAAGCCAGACAACAUCUCUCGCUACUCAGUCAUUGAGGGGAAGGAAGCAGUGAUGUCAAAGGAAAUGAUCACUGUACACACAGAAUGGGUGCAGGUGAAGUUCAAAGACGGAUACUUUGAGCUCCAAGGUUCUACACUAUUGUUCGGGGUUUGCUUCUUUGCCCCGUGCACAACCUAGCUAUGAAAUCAGAGUUUAGUGUCAUCAACUCAGCAAAUUCCAUGGGUACAUAGUUCUCAGCAGUGUGAACCUCCCCCUUGCCAUGGGACCUAAGUGUCUGCCUUAGAUUCAGUAGAAGUGCUGGUAAAGGGCCAUCUUAUUUUACUUGGGUUUCCUUGUACGACAAAGGAGGAGCAAUGAUAGCAAUUAUAAAUACCAUACACGGAAAGCCUAUUGUUGGGAUGGACACAGCUCUACAUUCCCUAACUCUGUCACCCUGUAACCUUGGCAGGAGUGUCCGUUUUGUGGUUGGGGUAAGUGCCUUGCCCAAGCACACACACUGGAGAGAUUCAAAUUCCCAAGUCCUUGCUAGGAUAAUAUCCUGCUGCUCAGAGACUGAAGACAAGAAGGCAAAUGUCUCAGAAUCCACGGGAACCAUCGAAUCCCAUUUCAGCCUCAGGGUCCCAGAGCUCUUAUCUUAUGCAAAGUUUGGAAUGGAAAACCAAGAGGUGAAUUGAAGGCUCAAGCCAAACUCACUCUUAAAAUCGGUAAAAUCCACCAGAAAGUACACUACAGAAUUCUCUCCAAUGAGUCCAACCCAACCAUGUUUUCCUGUAUUGUUGGAACAGAUGGCUGACCUUCAACUGAGCCCCAGAUGACGUUGUGGGCUUAUCUUUACAGGGUGUAGAUGAGAAAAAAACAUAGCAUCUCCUAGAUGCUAGAAUAACGCUUAGCUUGUGCAGACACUCUCGCUCUGAAGCCAGAGCGAGUUUACGGAGUGCAGAGGGGGAAAAACCACCCACACUAUGUAAAUGGUUCUUUUUCUUUCCCUUUCUCCAAGCAAAAUAUUUGCCUUUGCAUAAACUGAGCGUGCAGAUGAUUUAACUAGUGAUAUGGGGGCUUGGGUUUCCUGCCUGUAAUGAAGAGUAGGUGGCAUCCAUCGGACAAGAUGGAGGGGUGUCCAUGGUAUUAUCUACCUAUUUAUGAUCAACCUGUUUUUGAGCAAUUCAAAUGUCAUCAACGAACUACACACCUGAACACACUGACAUGCUCUCUCGAGGAAAAUUUUGCCCAUGAUGGGGCAGAUUGAUCAUAGUUAAUGAACCUGUCAGGCUCCCCUAACCUGAGAGAGGGCUCCAUCCUGGAAGCCAGCUGAUCUGACUUUAUGUAUCAUUCCAGCUACCUCAGUUCGAAAAAUUACUUGUCUUAUUAAUUAUCAUUCUCGUGUCUAUUAUUUAUUUUUAUUUU